rnacentral:rRNA from 2 species
ACGGGUGAGUAACGCGUGGGAACAUACCCAACUCUACGGAAUAACUCAGGGAAACUUGUGCUAAUACCGUGUACGCCCUUCGGGGGAAAGAUUUAUCGGAGUUGGAUUGGCCCGCGUUGGAUUAGCUAGUUGGUGGGGUAAAGGCCUACCAAGGCGACGAUCCAUAGCUGGUCUGAGAGGAUGAUCAGCCACAUUGGGACUGAGACACGGCCCAAACUCCUACGGGAGGCAGCAGUGGGGAAUAUUGGACAAUGGGCGCAAGCCCGAUCCAGCCAUGCCGCGUGUGUGAUGAAGGCCUUAGGGUUGUAAAGCACUUUCACCGGAGAAGAUAAUGACGGUAUCCGGAGAAGAAGCCCCGGCUAACUUCGUGCCAGCAGCCGCGGUAAUACGAAGGGGGCUAGCGUUGUUCGGAAUUACUGGGCGUAAAGCGCACGUAGGCGGAUCGAUCAGUCAGGGGUGAAAUCCCAGAGCUCAACUCUGGAACUGCCUUUGAUACUGUCGGUCUAGAGUAUGGAAGAGGUGAGUGGAAUUCCGAGUGUAGAGGUGAAAUUCGUAGA